rnacentral:rRNA from 1 species
UACGGGGGGAGCAAGCGUUGUUCGGAUUUACUGGGCGUAAAGCGCACGUAGGCGGAUUGUUAAGUCAGGGGUGAAAUUCUGGAGCUCAACUCCAGAACUGCCUUUGAUACUGGCAAUCUCGAGUCCGGAAGAGGUGAGUGGAACUCCUAGUGUAGAGGUGGAAUUCGUAGAUAUUAGGAAGAACACCAGUGGCGAAGGCGGCUCACUGGUCCGGUACUGACGCUGAGGUGCGAAAGCGUGGGGAGCAAACAGG